ensembl:lncRNA
AUUUAUAUUUACAUUCGGAUUUAUAAUGUAUAUUGAUGUAUAAUUGCAAUUUUUAUAAUUUGUUACAUUUAUUCCUAGUAUAUUUUAUUACCAUUUACAUUUUUAUACAUUGCCUAAUACAUUGCUUACAUAUUUCUAUAGUUAGAUUUCUAUUUCUAAAAGGUUUUUAUUGCUUAAAAUAAACCCCUGACUCUAUCCAAGUAAAAAUCUUUUAAAAAAACCCUUUUCUUUUAAACUGCGUUUAAAUUUAUCUCUAUUUUUCGCAUUUAUAUUCAAAUUUACAUUUAAAAUGUAGAUUGAUGUAUGGUGUUAUAUAAAAAUAUAAAAUAGAAAUUAAAAUAAAUAUUCAGAAGAGCUAGAAUAUAAAUAUCUCUGUAUACAUUGAAUAUAUAUUUCUAUAUUUAGAAUUAUAUCAAAAUAAAAGGUAUAUUCAUUUUUCUUCCAUUAAAACCCUACCUCUAACCAAAUAAAACCCAAAAAAAAAGCCCUUUCUUUAAACGAUACUUGAAUAUUUAUAUAUUUUUUUCAUCAUUAUAGUCACAUUUGCAUUUCAUCUUUAUAGUGAUGUAUUUAUAAAUAUAUAUCAUAUAUAUAUAUAUUAAGGUAGCAAGAUAGACAAAUUAUUAUUUAUAUUAUAUUUCAUACAUACUGCUAAUACUUAUUUUUACUUACCUUUGAAUUUUUUAUAUAGAUCCCCAGCAACAAUAUUUAGAGUAUCUGCAAAUAAAAGACUGGGAAACAGUUAUUUUACUCCAUCAGAACUCAGGAAAGGCCAGAUUUAGAUUUCUCCAAAGGGUCAAAGCUACAUAACACCAGUUAAUACCAUUUACUGUAGAAGCUGAACUGAUUUUGGUCUACACUAAGUUUCCCGUUUCUGACAAACUUCUGCAUGAAUAUUAAAAGUCUGAAGAAUGACCACAAGCAGAUCACCUAAACCUACAAGCUCACUGUUUCCCAUUUUUAACCAUGCCAGGAUCUUCUCUUUUGAUCACAUGCGUGGACAAUUCUCUCUAAAACCUUCUGACCUAACCAAGAAGUCUCACCAUUACCAAGGUUUCACACCAAAAGCAAAGCACCUCUGUAUCAUGCCUGCUGAUGGUGUCAGCACACAGUAUGGCCCAAGGUGUCUGCCCCAUGGAUUUCCCCAGGGUAUUCACACUUUUCCAAAGGUAGCCAUCACCUACACUGACUCUGAAAAUAAUUGCCCUUGCAAGAAGGGUCCAUGGCAGCUCGGGUCAGCCACAGGGGCUUGACACACAGAUCAGGAUAAAGGGACUUGGAGGAUUCCCACAGCUGGCCUGCACUGACAGAUAGAGCAAGUCCCUUGGGAUUGUGAAUUUUGCCUCCCAAGGACUGCAGGCUCACAUCCACACCCAGGACUAUUCAGAAGAGCUGCACCAAAAGCAGACAUCUGGCAGCUCAGGGUUUCUCUAAGCCCAGUCCUACAAGCCUGUGGGAGCCACAGGUAGCCAGGAAGUUCCUGAGAAAUCCAGACCCUCAGCCAGCAGCACAAAGUCCCAGAGCUGCCAAAUCAGAGAGAACUGCCUUCCACCUCUUUUCCCUCACACACUGAUGCUGAAAACUGCCAGACAGGCUAAAAGUCACUCAGGGAGAUAUAGAGGGUAUUACUGAUAAAGAGUUCUAGGGAAGCUGGAUGCCCAGCAUCCAUCAAACUACCUUCUGGAAAUCCCAGCUGUCACAUUUCACUCCACUUUUCCCUUUAACUCAGGCUUUCCCCUUCCAGAAUCAAUUCUUCCUCCCCACUCUCUCCCACUCCCUGUGCAGAUAGCUGGCAACACACACAAGCUGGAUCCACAUGUGGUCACUGAAAUUUGGCUGCACAGCUGACCUUUGCUGCUGCCAAAGGGAGGGAAUUCCAGGCCAGAGCACUCCUCUCUGCCCUUCACUUUUCAGAGCUAAUUGGCUUUUCUAUCCCUUUCAGCACAGCACAGCAUGGCCUCGUGGAGCUUGAAAAGCAGCAGUGGUUUUUAUCACCAUGGUGCAACGGGAGAAGACUUCAGAGCAUUUUCUGGGAACGCCACGUACAGUUAUAUUACAAUUGCAGAAUUUUCUGGCUUUUGUGUCUCCUAAGUCACACAAUGGACUACAAACAGUGCUAUUUCAGUGAAACUCUCUACAACCACUGAAAGUAAGUCACUAACUCUGUUAGAGCAGGCAAUGGACUCACAUGUUCACAAAAACUGACUACAGAUGCUAAAGCCAGACACUUUGUAGGUAAAUGAGAAACACCUCUGGUUUGGGCCCAUCCCUCAGGCAGCAGGUUUUUUGCAUGAAAAGGAUGAUUACUACUUGCAGGGCUAUAUGAAACAUUUACCUUUUUAUCCAAGUUAUGAAAGCAUAGCUUUGAAAAGCACAGUAAUCCCAAGGCCAAAAAACAGGCAGACAAAUGGACAGAUUUAAGCCACUCAUUUGGUUUUCUUGGAGACAGCGUUUUGCUCUUCCAAGGGCUGACCUUAUGCAUUUGCCAGGACUGGAUGCUCCACUUGAAAAAAAAAAAAAAAAGCUUAAAGGAAAUUUCAACAGCAGACUCUUCUGGAGGUGUCCUCUGUCAAUCUCCAGCUUCUCACAGGACUUGGUGCUUGUCUGGGGCUUUUGAGGAACAGCUCAUAAAUUGCUGCUAUUCAGCCGCUGGCAGUUGAAUCCUGCUUUAUUUAGUUUUUGGAAUCUUGUAGUGGAUUCUCCCUGCUUCCUUCCUCCAGUCCCUGCUCACAUUUAGUUUCAGUUUCCUGGAGCUAAGAGUGUUGACCCCUUUAAAAGCAGCAGCAGCAAGAAGACCACAGAGCAAGGAAAACAGUGUCCUGACCAUAAAGGUUGUACCCUCUGCAUAGAGAGAAACUCCACCAACUUUUCAGGAAGAAGAUGCAACAAACUCUUUUGCAGCAUCCUGACAUGACAGCCUUGCAGCAUACAGAAUCCAGCCUAGCAAGGAAAAAAUAAAAAAAAAGUGUUGUGUUAAAAAAAAAAUGCACAAGAAAAAGGUGCUAUUUUACAUGGAUCACAGUAAAGCCACAACAAUCUAAGGGUUCAUUUCUUCAUGAGAAUAUUUGAAGUCUAAAUUUGAAAUGGUCUAAAUUUGAAAUCUGUUGUCAACUGCAGCUGGCUAAAAUGGAAAGGGCUACAUUUCUUUGCUUACCUUGAUGCCUACUGGGAUCUGCUUUAGGGCCAAUUUUUCCUUGAAGCUCCUGGGAAUUACACACCUGUCUUCUUGCAUGAGAUGAAAUAUAUUUAUUAGAAGGUUGCAAAAUGUGUUAGGAUGCAUUGCAGUGCUGUGCUCUUCAAGGACAGAGGCACAAAGUCUGAUUCUUACCGUAGCUGGGACUUUGGGGAUUCCCAAAGCCAUUUUCAUGGCAUCUAAUUUUAGGUCCUUUUAAGAUAGAUUUGUAAUGACAAUUUGGUUUAUAGCCCCUCCCUCUGUUCCAGGGGCAGGAAAAUCUAUCAAAGCAAAUAAGGGAUUUAAAAUUUUUAUUUUAUUUUAUUUUUUUAGAUCUGAAACAAUUUAUGAGACAGCAGAACAAAAAAAAAAAGUUGGGUCUGCAAGAACCUUUCUUCCUUUAGGGACUUCUCUAUUGUCACAUGUCUGUGCAGUCCAUUCCAGCUGCAUCUGUGCUGGUGACUCAUAAAACCUAAAGGGCUAAUAAUAAGUUAUUAAAAGUAUCAGCAGUCCCCCACAACAAAAAAAGGAGAAAGAAAAAAAUGACUGGAAUAAAUGAAGGACUGCACCCUGUGGAAGGGAUCCACACUGGAGCAGAUCAAGAAGAACUGCAGCCCAUGGGAAACACUCACACUGGAGAAGUUCCUGGAGGACUGAGGACUGACUUCCAUGGGAAGAACCCCCCACUGGAGCAGAGGAAGAGUGUGAGAAGUCUGUGAUGAUAUUUUGUCUCCCCUGUGGAGCUGAGGAUGGAGAGUGCCAGAGUGGCUUUGAGGGGCACCUGGUACCCAGCCAGGGUUAACCCACCACAGCUACAUGGAUGGGAUGUGAUCUUAAAUUCACCAUUUCAGGACUCCUGAGUGCUAAACACAACUCUGAGGUCCAGACUUAAUUGUGUGAGCAGGGCUAGCAAUGAGCUUAAAGAAGUUCAACUGGUGCCUGACAAAAUGCUGAGCAGCUCAAGCCUUGCACUGCAAGGAGUUUGCACAGUUUAUGUUUUUACCCAGCAUUUUCCACCACAAUUCCCUUUCCCACUCAGUGCAGGGGUC